CCUACGGGAGGCAGCAGUGGGGAAUAUUGCACAAUGGGGGGAACCCUGAUGCAGCGACGCCGCGUGGGUGAGGAAGUACUUCGGUAUGUAAAGCCCUAUCAGCAGGGAAGAAAAUGACGGUACCUGACUAAGAAGCCCCGGCUAACUACGUGCCAGCAGCCGCGGUAAUACGUAGGGGGCAAGCGUUAUCCGGAUUUACUGGGUGGAAAGGGAGCGUAGACGGCGUGACAAGUCUGAUGUGAAAGGCCGGGGCUCAACCCCGGGACUGCAUUGGAAACUGGCAUGCUGGAGUGCAGGAGGGGCAAGCGGAAUUCCUAGUGUAGCGGUGAAAUGCGCAGAGAUUAGGAGGAACACCGGUGGCGAAGGCGGCUUGCUGGACGGUAACUGACGUUGAGGCGCGAAAGCGUGGGGAGCAAACAGGAUUAGAUACCCCGGUAGUC
rnacentral:rRNA from 1 species